rnacentral:tRNA from 1 species
GACGAGGUGGCCGAGUGGUUAAGGCGAUGACUGCUUAUUCUUUGGGCUCUGCUCACGUGGUUUCGAAUCCCAUCCUUGUCG